UUUACCUGCUAGGCUCGUCCCACCUGUGUGGAGCUCCCAUCGCCCUCCAGCGUUGCGCAGCCUGAAGGGACAGGACGGACAAGCGGGUGCCUCCUUCUAAUUCAUCUUCACCAUUGUGGUUGUCAAUAUGGCAUGCAGAAUUAUCCCUCUUUCCAGGUUUUCCCCAAGGACCCUGGACAAUGCUGGUUUUUCCUAUGUGCACCACCAAAGGGCCUAUCCAGCUUCUGGAGUCUACCUGGAUUCCUGGGCUCAUGGCCCCUUCCUCCAUCUUCAAACCAGCAAUGGAAAUGGAAAUGAAAGCAAAAUGGAAGGACGUGAGGUCCUUAUCCUUGGAGAUCCUAUGGAGUCUCCACAGACAUUCCUUGAAGAAAUCAGAUGGAGCUGAGCCUGACACUCUAACCGGUUCUCUGGGUGUACUGCAAAGGUCUAAUAAAAGGCACCUUUGCCCGGUUGCUUCAAUUCUAGGAAGCUGUUCAAUGUUUGACUAUAUUUCUCCAUACUCAUUUGAAAACAGUUCAUCAGGUUAGUUCAGUUGAAUUAUUGCUCCUUGGGAGUUUUCCAAACCCUGGAUUUCCUUCGGAGAGAGCUAGAUUCUAUUCCAUUCUUGGAAUUCAGCUCCUUGCCCUUCUCUGUGACCCCGGAUCGCGAAUGCAGUAAAAAUAAAAAUAUCCUGCUGCCUCCUGCA